rnacentral:rRNA from 1 species
UACAGAGGGUGCGAGCGUUAAUCGGAAUUACUGGGCGUAAAGCGUGCGUAGACGGCUAUCUAAGUCGGGUGUGAAAGCCCCGGGCUCAACCUGGGAAUUGCAUUUGUGACUGCCCGACUAGAGUGUGUCAGAGGGGGGUAGAAUUCCACGUGUAGCAGUGAAAUGCGUAGAGAUGUGGAGGAAUACCGAUGGCGAAGGCAGCCCCCUGGGAUAACACUGACGCUCAUGCACGAAAGCGUGGGGAGCAAACAGG